rnacentral:lncRNA from 1 species
UGUAAUGCAUUAUCCCUUAAUAAUGAGACCUGAUUAAUAUUUGCUGCAUUUAGCUUGCAAUUAAGUGCUUUCUUUUGGAAGUCAUGGCAUCUUAACCAUAUUAUUGACUACCAUAGGAAUAGUAUCUGUGAGAAUAUUUUUGACAGUGGGUUGUUCUGAAACUUGAAUGGUUGGAACUGGAAGAGUUGUGCAUUUACUUUUAUCUUUGUUAGGAUAUAAGGAGGAGAGGUUAGUUAGAAUAUUAAUGAGUUAGUUAGGAUAUUUAGUAUAUUAAUCAACUAGUUAGAGGGUGUUGAUAAGAUAUAAAUAGGGGAAGAAGGAUGGGAGAGAGUUAGCUUUGUGGUUAUUGUAAAUUAAGCAUUGACCCUUUGUAGAGGGAAACCCUUGGUUGAGAGUUUACUCAUCCCCCGUGUGCUCGUAACCUAGUGGUGGCAAAUCUAUUGGAGUUUGUUUGGUGGUCCGAUCUACUUUUCCGUUUCCUUAUUUUUUUUUCAUUAUUUUUUUCCUAACUUUCCAAGAAAAAUGUCUUCCAACACCACACUCCCAUAUUUUCUAGCCAUAUUGUUAGUAUUGAGAAGGUGGGUGAGUCUAACUAUUUCACUUGGACAUCGGAAAUCUGGUUAUGGUUAAG